rnacentral:lncRNA from 1 species
GUUAGUGCAACUUCUGGUUGAUUUUUGCCAUCUCUUCAGAAACUGUAUUCAAGAAACUCUGUGGCCUGUCUACAGCCAUACAUUUUCUGAUGAAUGAGAAAUUCGAGUAGAUACAGGUGAUUACUGAAGUAUGCUGUGAAUAAAUGCUCGAAACUCUGUACAGUGAAGGAAAGUGCUUAUUGAAAUGGACGUCAUUGAUACAGAUGCUCUGCAGCUACUCCCGG